rnacentral:lncRNA from 1 species
AUAGCAGCGCGCAGGAAAAGAAACCAGCGGAAAAAAUGCAAGCACGUGUAUUCCAGUCGUUGCUACAAUGACUCCAUGGUAUUGGAUCUUGGAAAGCAUAAACUAUAAACUGCAUAAUCCAACAGCGGAAUAUAGUUGCACCCACCAUGUAUAUACCAUAGCCCAGGCUUACUGUGAUACCAACACCUAAAGCAAAACGUAGACAACGCCAAGCAACGUCAACGUGAAUAAAAAGUCUUCAGGAAAAUUAUAACAUUUAUAAUAAUAUAAUAUAUAUAUGGGCCCUGAUGAAAAAAGAUUGGUUGAAAUGGUUCCAUAUGAGAAAAUACAACAUGGAAUAGUG